GUGGAUGAGUGCUUGCAAUGGAGGUGAAUAGCAGAACUGGCCUUCAUCUAAUCAAGUACUGAACAGCACUUGCCUCGAGGAUCUGAGAAAAUGAAGAGACCUAGUCUGGUAUAUUCAGGGAUGGGAUCCUGGCUGCCUUACCCAUCACUGACAAGGAGUGCUACAUAUGGGAAAGGCACCUAUUUCCUACUGCCCUGAAAACUGCCCAGCAACCUGGCACACUAAGAUGUCCUCAGGCCUGAUUUAUAAAUAUCCUCCAAUGUAGAAGUAGCUAUAAAAGGAGUAGAGAGAUGGUGAGACAGUGGAGGCGGAGGACUAGCAGAAGAAGGUGGGAAAGGAGAAGACCCACAAGGACACAGGAUGAGGAUGGACUGAGAUCUUGCAGCCUGUCUUCUUCCCACACACUCACAAGUGUGUAUCUAAGCUACCUGAUGAAAGAAGGAACAUUAGAAGUACCCCCUCCAACGAUGUUCUACUUCUACUGAGAAGGAGACAAAAACCUCAUUAUUUAAGGCACUCCAGGGCUAAUGUCAAGCUAUUCCAUUCAGAAAGACCAUGGUAAGCAAGUAAAACUAAUCUCUCAGGUGGUCACAAACUUAAUAGGAAGACCGUUUUGACCUAAAACAUCUUUGAGUUUGCGAAACAUGCUUCAACUUCUACUCAAAGGGAAGUGUAUAUAUUAGGAUAAAAGAAUAAGACCAAUUAUGGACUUAAAGUGUCCAUGGAAGCAAAAGAAACACUGUAAAAAGGGCUAUGAAUUUCCCAUCCUAUAUCCUAGAUUUUUAAAUAAAAAUAGAGACAGAA